rnacentral:misc_RNA from 1 species
UCCGGUUUGUCACCGGCAGUCUCCCUAGAGUGCCCUUGCGUAGCAACUAGGGACAAGGGUUGCGCUCGUUGCGGGACUUAACCCAACAUCUCACGACACGAGCUGACGACAACCAUGCACCACCUGUACAGGGCCCUUGCGGACCUCCCAUCUCUGGGAGAUUUCCCUGUAUGUCAAGCCUUGGUAAGGUUCUUCGCGUUGCGUCGAAUUAAGCCACAUGCUCCGCCGCUUGUGCGGGCCCCCGUCAAUUCCUUUGAGUUUUAGCCUUGCGGCCGUACUCCCCAGGCGGGGCGCUUAAUGCGUUAGCUGCGGCACGGAGAACGUGGGGAUGACGUGUCUUACAGCGUAC